rnacentral:rRNA from 1 species
UACGGAGGGUGCAAGCGUUAAUCGGAAUUACUGGGCGUAAAGCGCACGCAGGUGGCUGAGUCAGUCGAUUGUGAAAGCCCUGGGCUUAACCUGGGAAUUGCAGUCGAUACUACUCAGCUAGAGUAUGGGAGAGGGCAGUGGAAUUCCCGGUGUAGCGGUGAAAUGCGUAGAUAUCGGGAGGAACAUCAGUGGCGAAGGCGACUGCCUGGACCAAUACUGACACUCAGGUGCGACAGCGUGGGGAGCAAACAGG